GGGCUCGAACAAGCGGUGGAGCAUGUGGUUUAAUUCGAUGCUACGCGAAGAACCUUACCAAGGUUAGACUUAUAGCAAGUCCUUUCGAAACAGAGGAGUGCCUUCGGGAAUGCUAUAUCAGGUGGUGCAUGGCUGUCGUCAGCUCGUGUCGUGAGAUGUUGGGUUAAGUCCCGCAACGAGCGCAACCCACGUCUUUAGUUGCCAGCACAUAAUGGUGGGGACUCUAGAGAGACUGCCGGUGCAAACCGUGAGGAAGGUGGGGAUGACGUCAAAUCAUCACGGCCCUUACGUCCUGGGCUACACACGUGCUACAAUGGUAGGGACAGAGAGCAGCCACUUCGCGAGAAGGAGCGAAUCUACAAACCCUAUCUCAGUUCGGAUCGCAGUCUGCAACUCGACUGCGUGAAGCUGGAAUCGCUAGUAAUCG
rnacentral:rRNA from 1 species